GAGCUUCAAUUGAAUCCAAUCUUCAUUGGGCCAUUUUUCCUUCAUGGUGAUGCAUUUGAUGGUACAUACGCCCAUUUCUUCACACACUUACGGAAUAAAUUUAAGGAAGUGUCAUGCAAAACUGAAAAUUUUAUUUUCGGAACUGAUCAAAAAAAGCUAUGAUGUCAGCAAUAAUGUUUGCUUUUCCAGAAUCUAAUCAGGUCUUGUGUAUCCGACACAUUAAAUAAAAUGUGGAGUCAUAUCUGUCAGACAAAGUUGGACUAGAAAAAGAAAUACGUCAAGUAGUUAUGAACGGUUUGUUUGGAAGUCAAGGUGCAGUGUUGUCAGACGAUUCGAUAGUAUUUGAAGAACGAAUUAGGUUUGUCCAUAAUAUCUGCAAAAACAAAAAAGGAGACUAAGUUCUAAAGUAUUUAGAUGAACGUCUUGUCCCGAUACUUAAGGAAAAUGUGAUGAGACCUCAUCUGAACAGAAAAGUCCAAGAUAAUUGGACAAACAAUAAUGCCGAAUCAGCCAGUCAUAUUCUGAAAUGUGCAGUUAACUGGAAACCAAAACCACUAAUGGAACUAAUUACAAAAAUUUGGAAUCUAGUACAAGUUCAACAAAAAGAUCUGCAGCGAGCUAUUACUGGCUCAGGACCAUUUACUCUGGCAUAAGAAUAUCAACAGCAUGUUAUUUCUCCACAACAAUGGUCACAGAUGUCAACUGAAGACAGACAUAAAGCAGUGAAAAAGUUAUUCUAUGCGAGGAUACCAAGCACAAUGUUAACAUUGACUGACGGAAAACUCAAAGAUCCUAUGCCCAAGGGUAGUAAGAAACCAGGUCAAAGGAAAAGGCCAACAGCUGAACGAUCUAUGACAACGCCGAAACAGCAAAGAAAAACAUGCUUUGGCAAAUAAACAGAAAUAAACUGGAUUGUGUCCUUUAAAUAUAACUUUAUAACUUUA